rnacentral:rRNA from 1 species
UGGGGAAUUUUGGACAAUGGGGGCAACCCUGAUCCAGCAAUGCCGCGUGUGUGAAGAAGGCCUUCGGGUUGUAAAGCACUUUUGUCCGGAAAGAAAACGCCGUGGUUAAUACCCGUGGCGGAUGACGGUACCGGAAGAAUAAGCACCGGCUAACUACGUGCCAGCAGCCGCGGUAAUACGUAGGGUGCAAGCGUUAAUCGGAAUUACUGGGCGUAAAGCGUGCGCAGGCGGUCCGCUAAGACAGAUGUGAAAUCCCCGGGCUUAACCUGGGAACUGCAUUUGUGACUGGCGGGCUAGAGUAUGGCAGAGGGGGGUAGAAUUCCACGUGUAGCAGUGAAAUGCGUAGAGAUGUGGAGGAAUACCGAUGGCGAAGGCAGCCCCCUGGGCCAAUACUGACGCUCAUGCACGAAAGCGUGGGGAGCAAACAGGAUUAGAUACCCUGGUAGUCCACGCCCUAAACGAUG